CCUGACUCUGAUUGCCCUAGAGGACUGUGCUUAGGACCCCUAAAAGUGACAUGUAUGGCCCUCAUGCUAUAGGGUUUGUCACAUAUGAGGGCUCCAAUUGGGAGCUAGGUUUUCUUUUUAUGAUUUGGUUUUUGGGGUUUGAGCAGUUAAAAAUAAAGCACUGUUUUGCUUCAAA